rnacentral:rRNA from 1 species
GCUUAUGGCCACACCACCCUGAGCGCGCCCGAUCUCGUCUGAUCUCGGAAGCUAAGCAGGGUCGGGCCUGGUUAGUACUUGGAUGGGAGACCGCCUGGGAAUACCAGGUGCCGUAAGCU